rnacentral:tmRNA from 3 species
GGGAUCGACCGGUUUUGACAGCUUAUGUAGUCCGGUUGUAAGCACGUCGGGAGUUGUAGGCAUUUCCUGUUAAAAAAACCUUCGAAUUAUAGCUGGCAAUACUUCGUAUGCCAUGGCUGCUUAGUCUGAUAGACUAACCAAUUGCCAUCGUUCAGCCCUGUCCAAACUCUGCCGACGGGGGAUUCUGAGCGUCGACAUGCAGAGUCGCUGAUUUUGAUUUCUCUAAUGAAUCAGUAGUAUCCAGAGGAUAAGUGUUAGGUAAGGUCUGAUUUGAACCUAUCUAACAUCGAAAAUGAAUCAAAUCUAAACGUGUAGAAAGCAGCAGUUCUCUAGGUUUGGACGAGGGUUCGAGUCCCUCCGAUUCCACCA